rnacentral:tRNA from 2 species
GCCCCUGUAGCUCAGCGGGAGAGCGGCGGUUUCGUAAACCGCAGGUCGGGAGUUCAAUCCUCCUCAGGGGCU